UCCAAGCUGCCAUCGACUUGCUUACAAAAUAUCCGUGCACUUCAGAACAGCACUUACAAACAUACUGGGGUCAAACAAAUGAAACAGAAGGACAGUCCAACGAUAUUGAGGAGGGGAUAACAAUACUGCAUGCCAGUUACACCAAGAGCCUUUUGGGUAUGUUGUUCAUGCAAACCCAAAGGCAGAACAGAGCUAUUUCAGUCGACACAUUCUUGCAUGUGCAGGAAACGUUUCAGGCCGAAGAACAUGUCUAGGCCACAGAAAAGAUGCCUGAUGCCUUCAGCUACAAUGAUGCAACAAAGCAAGAUAAUGAGUUAAUCGAGACAUAGUUUAAUGAUUUAAUCAUCUCUGUCGCUUAUUUUACAUCCAAUCUGAUGAAACAAAUUGACAUGUAGAAACUCCACACACCCACAUUUAUCUAUCUUUGAUAAAUACACGUUUCCUUUUCUCUCUAGUUGCAUCCCCUUGAACUGUCCUUCUCUCCUGUCAAUGACACUGGAUCAUGAACAUGUUUAAUCUGCUGGGGUUUGGGUGCCUUGAUUACACUGCUACAAAUUAAACCCUUUGCAAAAUAAUGGAAUUUAGAGUAUCAGAACAUUUCAUUCUCCACAUCCUGGAUCUCAGCAAUGUUGGCAAGUGGAUAAGUUUUUUUUUGUAAAUCAUAACCCUAUUAGUUACCUCUUUACAUAGCUUAGUGAGCUUUGCCAUUAAGUUGCUCAGGCCCAGAAAAUGUUAGCGGUUUGAUCCCUAUUCUGGGUUAGAUUAUUUCAGUCAGAAGGGCCUCAGUGGAUCUGUGACCAGCAUACCUCAUAUUAAUCUCUAUCCAGUAACCUCUGAUCAAAGUACACAUGCAUACAUAUUGAACAAAGACAAACCCAAUUUGAUUCUGAUGUCCUCACACUCUAACAGCCUGCGUAAGAUUUAUACAUGAGCCAUAAUCAUUUGGGCGUAGCACCAGUGAAACCAAAUCCUACCAUUUCCUUUAGGAAAGGAAAAACUGAAAAACAAAACAAAAUCUUAAUUUUUAAAAGUAUUUAUAUUUACCCACAUGACUGAAACUUCUUGCUUGCUAUCAUGAUUAAAGCAAAAGAGAAAACAUGGCCAAAAUAGGGCCACAUGCUUGCACAGAUAUUGUUAUGUGCACACCAUUGUAAUAUAUUUACACAUUAAAAGAUUUAAC